rnacentral:lncRNA from 10 species
GACAAAAAGAUUUUAAGAAAUGAAUUAGUCUUUUUAUAUUGCUAAAAAGAUCUCUACAGUGCUACUCAAAUGCCAUCUAUGAACUAGCUGUUUGCUACAGCUAUGCAACAAGACAAGAACAAAGCUCGAAACUUAGCAUUUAGAAACUCUUACAGCAGUCUGAGAGGGAAAUUCUAUACCUGUUAAAUAAAAUAAUUUUUAAAAAUGGAGGUUAUAUUACUAUUUUGUCAAGUUAUUCUCAUUUCAUUUCAUUUUUCUAGUAAUUCAUUUUUAAUGUAUUUUAAAGAAGUAUUGGGAAAAAAACCUGAUUCUUCACCACAAAUAAUUUGAAAAGCACUGUGAUAAAAGACUUAUCGGUCAUGAAGCUGGGAUGUGCCAAACAACACAUCAAAAUAUACAAAUUUAAAACAAUUACAGAUGCAAGGCAAAAAUGAAGGACAAAUGUUUAUUUGGGAAGCAAACCCAUUCCAUGACACAUUAGAUUUUUUUUAAAAAAAGCACAUAGAGGAAUUUUAAAAUGUCACGUUUUCUCUAAGAAGUCACUGAUUAUAAAUGUCCUAUCAGUUUAAUACCAGCUUUUCAGGAGGGAAAAUUACUGUAUUAAAUGUACAUACUGUGAGACACAUUACAAACUCGGAAAUGUUAAAAUUGGGCCAGGCGAGGUGGCUCAUGCCUGUAAUCUCAGCACUUUGAGGGGCUGAGAUGGGCAGAUCACCUGAAGUCAGGAGUUCAAGACCAGCCUGGCCAACAUGGCGAAACCCCAUCUCUAUGAAACAUACAAAAAUUAGACAGGUAUGGUGUGGUGGCACAUGCUUGUAAUCCCAGCUACUUGGGAGACUGAAGCACGAGAAUCACUUGAACCCAGGAGAUGGAGGUUGCAGUGAGCCGAGAUCGCACCACAGCACUCUAGCCUGGGCGACACAGUGAGACUCUGUCUCAAAAAAUAAAAUAAAAUUAGAAAAAAGAAAUUUUAAAUUGUUUAAAAAGGAUUAACCAAGAAAAUAACAGUAAGUCAAUAAUUUGGUAUUAAAUGAAAAACUUCCUUUCAAUUUUCAGUGAAACAUGUAUAAAGAUGUUAGUAAUAAAGCAGACGCUAAAGAAUACAUCAAUAACUUUGAAAAACUAAAAACUAUGUAAAGCAUGGUAA